GGCUCGUUGGUUGGGGUAUGAUCCUUGCUUAGAGUGUGAGAGAUACAGAGUUCAAAUCCCGGACGAGCCC